rnacentral:rRNA from 1 species
CUCAGUAACGGCGAGUGAAGCGGUAACAGCUCAAAUUUGAAAUCUGGCUCUUCCGGAGUCCGAGUUGUAAUUUGUAGAAGAUGCUUUGGGAGGUAGGGCCGGCCUAAGUUCCUUGGAACAGGACAUCAGAGAGGGUGAGAAUCCCGUAUGUGGCCGUGGCCUACGCCCGUGUAAAGCUCUUUCGACGAGUCGAGUUGUUUGGGAAUGCAGCUCAAAAUGGGUGGUAAAUUUCAUCUAAAGCUAAAUAUUGGCCAGAGACCGAUAGCGCACAAGUAGAGUGAUCGAAAGAUGAAAAGCACUUUGGAAAGAGAGUUAAACAGUACGUGAAAUUGUUGAAAGGGAAGCGCUUGCAACCAGACUUGGGCGUCGUCGAUCAUCCGGGGUUCUCCUCGGUGCACUCGACGAGGCACAGGCCAGCAUCGGUUUGGAUGGUUGGAGAAAGGCCCUAGGAACGUAGCUCUCUUCGGGGAGUGUUAUAGCCUAGAGCGCAAUGCAGCCCAUCCGGACCGAGGACCGCGCCUUUGGCUAGGAUGCUGGCGUAAUGGUUGCAAG